rnacentral:rRNA from 1 species
AGUGAACGCUGGCGGUAGGCCUAACACAUGCAAGUCGAACGGCAGCACAGUAAGAGCUUGCUCUUACGGGUGGCGAGUGGCGGACGGGUGAGGAAUACAUCGGAAUCUACUUUGUCGGGGGGGAUAACGUGGGGAAACUUACGCUAAUACCGCAUACGACCUACGGGUGAAAGCAGGGGAUCUUCGGAGCUUUGGUGAUUGAAUGAGCCGAUGUCGGAUUAGCUAGUUGGGGGGGUAAAGGACCACCAAGGCGACGAUCCGUAGCUGGUCUGAGAGGAUGAUCAGCCACACUGGAACUGAGACACGGUCCAGACUCCUACGGGAGGCAGCAGUGGGGAAUAUUGGACAAUGGGCGCAAGCCUGAUCCAGCCAUACCGCGUGAGUGAAGAAGGCCUUCGGGUUGUAAAGCCCUUUUGUUGGGAAAGAAAAGCAGCAGGUUAAUACCCCGCUGUUCUGACGGUACCCAAAGAAUAAGCACCGGCUAACUUCGUG